rnacentral:lncRNA from 1 species
AUGCAAAUAAACAGAAAGACAGAUGGGCACAUGCAGAGAAAAAGAGACCUUCCACCUGCUGGCUCACUGCCUACAUGCCCGGAACAGCUGGGGCUGGGCCAGGCAGACACCGGGAACCGUAACUGCAUCCAGGUCUCCUCUGGGGGCUGCAGGGAACCGGCGUCUUGCGUCAGCAGCCCCGCCCCAGGGUGCUCAAUGGCAGGAAGCACUGACACGAGGCAUCGUUGGUUUCUUCUCACGAGACUCCGGUUUUCUCACAGAACGAGAGAGGGAAGCAUGACCUGUGGUCACCCCUGCCGCACCCCGAUCUCCGUUCCCACCCCCCCGCCAUGGGUUACAGUGUCACGUGUUCUGCCAGAGAGAAAGGAGGAAGGAGUGGGCACCAGGAGACCGGCUCAAAGGCGCUCCCAGCACUGUUCUCCGCCCGGCACGAGGACGGGCAGUGGGCCAUCGUUCUGCUCCUGGGAGGGCGCUGAUGGCCACCCGUGCCUGGGCCCGUGCUGUGGGCUGGGCGCAGGUUGGCCUCCCCCGAGUGCAGAAGAAUCAGAUAGGUCUGUCGUCUGGCUAAGCUCAGCCACUGUGGAGGGCGCUGUUCCUCUGCACACAGCUUGUAAGCGCGGCCCAUUUUCCAGCCUCAACAUUCCUCUCCCAGCGGCUGGUCCAGGCACUACGUCUGUGGAAACUGACCUUUCCGGUGUGAGCGAUUCUGAGCGGGGGCGCUGGCGUGGUGCUCCCAAGCGCCCCCCACCCGCACUCCCGCUCCCCGGGCAGCACUGCCCUCUCCCAGCCAGCAGCCACGCGGGGCCUUCUGCCAAUGCACGUCACCAAGCGGAAGACACGGCCACCCCUUCCAUCUUGCAAUGCUUCGGCGAGGGUCUUGCUGGCCCGGGCAGGGGCCCAACCACGCUGGCAGAUCCCCAGUGCCUGUGCUGGCCCAGGUGUGCGUGCAGCUCUGCUGGAGUUCCUGGAGUAGUCCCCACGCUGCUCUCGUGGUCCCCACGCCGCUCUCGUGGCCCACAGCCCUCGCCCUGA